rnacentral:rRNA from 1 species
CCUUGGGCGGUGUGUACAAGGGGUGAAGCCUGCGGUUUAAUUGGAGUCAACGCCGGGAAUCUUACCGGGAGCGACAGCAGGAUGAAGGCCAAGCUGACGACUUUGCCAGACAGGCUGAGAGGAGGUGCAUGGCCGUCGCCAGUUCGUGCCGUGAGGUGUCCGGUUAAGUCCGGCAACGAACGAGACCCUCACCCUAUGUUGCUAGGUCCUCUCUACGGAGGGGACCGCACACGUAGGGGACCGCCAGUGUUAAACUGGAGGAAGGAGGGGGCUACGGCAGGUCAGCAUGCCCCGAAUCUCCCGGGCCACACGCGGGCUGCAAUGGCGAGGACAGCGGGUUCCGACCCCGAGAGGGGAAGGCAAUCCCUUAAACCUCGCCGUAGUUGGGAUUGAGGGCUGUAACCCGCCCUCAUGAACAUGGAAUCCCUAGUAACCGCGUGUCACCAUCACGCGGUGAAUACGUCCCUGCUCUUUGUACACACCGGCCAAGGGC